UUUUAUUCAAUAGAGCUUGUCUUACAAAAACAAUGUUGUUAUAUAUAUCAUCUUUUAAUAUAUGUAAUAUCCAUUAGCACUAGUUAGACAAAUACCAACAUACUCAUGAUACUUUAAACAAUAAAUGUUUUUAAGAUAACUUAAUAAAAUGGAAUGGAUAUGAAAAACAUGUCAAAGAGACAACACCCCGACCAAAGAGCAGAUAACAGCCGAAGGCCAUCAAUCAUUUUCUAAAACAAUGGUUCUCCAAAGUCAAUGUUACUGUAUUGAUAUAUAACAUGACACGUGGCAAUGAGAUGUCUGCUUUUUUAAUUUUGGUGUUAUCUACUGUAAACAUGACAACAGCCAAAAUGUCAAAAAUUCAUAAAAAAAAGAAAGUCCUCUAAACUUGAUGAAACUUUACUGAAAUUGUAACUGACAUAGGCCGAGUUGCAUUUCGAAGUUGAAAAAUUCAAAAUGCUCCAAACUUAAUGAAAGCUUACCAACAUGAUAAUGUGCAUGUAUAGAUACGCUCUUUGACUUUGGAAAUUUCAAAAUAGCUGCCGUUAUUCUGGCAAUGGGGGAAGGUGUCAUCCGCUAUUGCUUGCAAUGACAAAUCUAGUUUUUUUAACUGCCUUGUUUAAACAAUUGACGAGAAUGGAUGGGACAAUACAAUAUCAUACUUUCUUUCUUGUUAUCAAAGCAUUAUCUCAGAUUUUAUUUCAGUAUGGUUUUGAUUUUAGAUUUAAUAAAAUUGUGACUGGAAUAAAAUAAUACAAAAAAUAACAUGUUGUCAACCUACAGAAAAGAAAUGUGUAAUUAUUUCUAUUGCUUAUGAAAUUAUAUAACCUUUUUGUAAUAAUUUGAUGA
rnacentral:lncRNA from 1 species